rnacentral:rRNA from 1 species
UACGAGGGGGGCAAAUGUUGUUCGGAAUCACUGGGCGUAAAGGGAGCGUAGGCGGGUUCUAAGUCAGGUGUUUAAUCCCGGGGCCCAACCCCGGACAGGCACUUGAAACUGGGAAUCUUGAAUAGGGGAGAGGUCAGUGGAAUUGGAGGUGUAGCGGUGGAAUGCGUAGAGAUCUCCAAGAACACCAGUUGCGAAGGCGGCUGACUGGACCCAUAUUGACGCUGAGGCUCGAAAGCAUGGGGAGCAAACAGG